rnacentral:tRNA from 1 species
GUCCCCUUCGUCUAGUGGCCCAGGACAUCGCCCUCUCACGGCGAAAACAGGGGUUCGAGUCCCCUAGGGGACGCCA